rnacentral:lncRNA from 1 species
AUUUAAGGGGGUCUGAAUACUUUCCGUACCCACUGUAUAUUAUUGCAGUUGUUCAGAUUAUAAGAAAUGGCUGAUGAAGUUGCAAAGGUGGUUUCAUUUAAGUCCAUGACGAGGUCAAUAUGUAGUAUAUAUAGGCUUAAGUCUGAUUAAGGUGUUUCCUCUUAACGAAGGCGUGCCCUUUGUUGGAUGAUGUACUAGACGAGGAAGUGUUAAUACUCAGACAUGAAAAGAUUCAGGCAUGAAAGAGUCUUCCGGGACAGGCUGCUGGGUCCAAAGAUACAACACAGAACAGCGUGGAGCCACGCUCUCACUGUCCCACAGGUGGUCUGUGUAGCGCUGCGAUUCUUAGCAAGUGGUAUGUUCCUUUAUUCUGUUGGAGAUGCUGAAAACCUCAAAGGCACUAUUUGCUGCACGAUAAGAAAUGUUAGUCUUGAAUUAAAAAAUUAUUGGUCAUCCAAUCUUUUACAUUUUUAACAGAGUGUGUUAAAAAUGUAAAAGAUUGGAUGACCAAUAAUUUUCUCCUAUUAAAUUCGGAUAAGACAGAGAUAUUACUUAUUGGACCAAAAGACAGUACAACGAAUCUCGUGGAUUACAAUUUGCAACUAGACGGAUGUACGGUUACUUCCGCAUAGCACAGUCACAGUAGGAAACUCAUUUUUUUAUAGCUUUCCCUGAUGUCAUUGGUGCAGUGGAUUGCACCCAUAUCUGUAUCAAACACCCCGCAGGGGCACAUGAGAGAGAUUGUUAACAGGAAAUCUUUCCACAGUAUCAGCGUUCAGGUAAGAAUGAUUUAUGGUUACUGUGAGCUACAUAAAUUAUUUCUGUGCAUUAAAUGACCUUAAUAGGUUACAUGUUAUUGUUACAGAUGAUCUGUGAUGCUAACUGCCUUAUCACAAAUUUAGAGGUAAUGUGGCCUGGCUCGGUCCAUGACUCAAGAGCCUUUCGGGCCAAUAGAAUUUACCAGAGACUCUCACUAGGUAAGCCACCCCAAUUUUUUUAAGCACCUUGGACAUCAUGUGUGUGUCAGAAGUUUUACUCUGCUAGUUGUAAGAAUUAUAUUUUGUAUUCUCAGGUGAGUUCUCUGGUGUGCUGCUAGGAGACAAAGGUUAUGCCUGUGAGACGUUCCUGUUGACCCAUGCC